rnacentral:rRNA from 1 species
GACGAACCGUGCGAACGUUAUUCGGAAUCACUGGGCUUAAAGCGCGUGUAGGUGGGACGGCACGUCGGUCGCUGAAAGCCCCCGGCUCAACCGGGGAACGGGCGCCGAUACGACCGUCCUGGAGGGACGUAGGGGGAGCUGGAACUUCCGGUGGAGCGGUGAAAUGCGUUGAGAUCGGAAGGAACGCCCGUGGCGAAAGCGAGCUCCUGGACGUUUUCUGACACUGAGACGCGAAAGCCAGGGGAGCGAACGGG